rnacentral:rRNA from 1 species
CCUACGGGCGGCAGCAGUAGGGAAUCUUCCACAAUGGACGAAAGUCUGAUGGAGCAACGCCGCGUGUGUGAUGAAGGGUUUCGGCUCGUAAAACACUGUUGUAAGAGAAGAAUGACAUUGAGAGUAACUGUUCAGUGUGUGACGGUAUCUUACCAGAAAGGAACGGCUAAAUACGUGCCAGCAGCCGCGGUAAUACGUAUGUUCCAAGCGUUAUCCGGAUUUAUUGGGCGUAAAGCGAGCGCAGACGGUUAAUUAAUUGCGCAGUGCAACCCCAAACCGUACCCGUGGAAGGCUUAUUAAAACCCAACACUGUCAGUACACGAGAGGAGGGUUCAGCUCCAUGAGUAACGGUGAAAUGCCUAGAUAUGUGGAAACACCACCGUGCCGAGAGAGUAUCUCUGGCCUUUAUCAGACGUCAAGACUCGAAAGUCUACGAAACAAAAAGGAUUACUUACCCGUAUAGCC